AGUGAACGCUGGCGGUAGGCCUAACACAUGCAAGUCGAACGGCAGCACAGUAAGAGCUUGCUCUUACGGGUGGCGAGUGGCGGACGGGUGAGGAAUACAUCGGAAUCUACUUUUUCGUGGGGGAUAACGUAGGGAAACUUACGCUAAUACCGCAUACGACCUACGGGUGAAAGCAGGGGAUCUUCGGACCUUGCGCGAUUGAAUGAGCCGAUGUCGGAUUAGCUAGUUGGCGGGGUAAAGGCCCACCAAGGCGACGAUCCGUAGCUGGUCUGAGAGGAUGAUCAGACACACAGGAAGUGAGAGAAGGUCAAUACUCCUACGGGAGGGAGCAGUGGGGAAUAUGGGACAAUGGGCGCAAGCCUGAUCCACCCAUACCGCGUGGGUGAAGAAGGCCUUCGGGUUGUAAAGCCCUUUUGUUGGGAAAGAAAAGCAGCAGGUUAAUACCCCGCUGUUCUGACGGUACCCAAAGAAUAAGCACCGGCUAACUUCGUG
rnacentral:rRNA from 1 species